GACAGAGGUCCCAAGCGUUAGGCGGAAUCACUGGGCUUAAAGCGUGUGUAGGCGGACCUGCAAGUACUUUGUGAAAUCCCACGGCUUAACCGUGGAACUGCUUGGUAUACUGCCGGUCUUGAGGCAUCUAGAGGCAACUGGAACAAACGGUGGAGCGGUGAAAUGCGUAGAUAUCGUUUGGAACGCCCAAGGUGAAAACAGGUUGCUGGGGAUGUACUGACGCUGAGACACGAAAGCCAGGGGAGCAAACGGG
rnacentral:rRNA from 1 species